UCCAGUUGAUCCCGCUGGAGUAUGCUGCUAUUGGGAUUCGACUAAGCCAUGUAAGUCUAGAGGAAGCUUGCUUCCUCGGCGAAAUGCUCAGUAACACGUCAAUAAUCUGCCCUUUGGUCAGGGAUAAUCUCGGGAAACUGAGGAUAAUACCUGAUAGGGGAUUAGUUCUGGAAUGACUUUUCCCUUAAAAUUACGAUGCCAAAGGAUGAGUUGGCGGCUGAUUAGGUUGUUGGAGAGGUAAAGGCUCACCAAGCCGAAGAUCAGUAGGGGCCGUGAGAGCGGUAGCCCCGAGAAGGACACUGAGACACUGGUCCUAGCCCUACGGGGUGCAGCAGGCGCGAAACCUUUACAAUGCACGAAAGUGUGAUAAGGGGAUCCCAAGUGCUCACGCUCAGCGUGGGCUUUUGCCAAGAGUAAAUACCUUGGCGAAUAAGUGGUGGGUAAGACUGGUGCCAGCAGCCGCGGUAACACCAGCGCCACGAGUGGCAUACACAUUUAUUGGGCUUAAAGCGUCCGUAGCCGGUUUUGUAAAUCUUUUGUGAAAUCAUAGGCUUAACUCUAUGGCGUGCAGAAGACACUACAAAACUUGGAACCGGGAGGAGUCAGAGGUAUUCUGGGGGGAGCGGUAAAAUGUUAUAAUCCCCGGAGGACCACCUGUGGCGAAGGCGUCUGACUAGAACGGAUUCGACGGUGAGGGACGAAGGCCAGGGGAGCGAACCGGAUUAGAUACCCGAGUAGUCCUGGCAGUAAACUCUGCGAGCUAGGUGUUGCACAUUCUCCGUGAGUGUGCAGUGUCGAAGCGAAAGUGUUAAGCUCGCCGCCUGGGAAGUAUGGUCGCAAGACUGAAACUUAAAGGAAUUGGCGGGGGAGCACUACAAGGGGUGCGGCGUGCGGUUUAAUCUAAUUCAACGCAGAAAAUCUCACCAGCAGCGACGGCAGAAUGAAAGUCAGUCUAAAGGGCUUACUUGACGAGCCGAGAGGUAGUGCAUGGCCGCCGUCAGCUCGUGCCGUAAGGUGUCCUGUUAAGUCAGGCAACGAGCGAGACCUGUGCCUACAAUUGCCAGCAGCUAAUUUAUUAGGACUGGGCACAUUGUGGGGACCGCCCUGGAAACAGGGAGGAAGGUGCAGGCUACGGUAGGUCUGUAUGCUCCGAAUCUGCUGGGCUACACGCGCGCAACAAUGGCAUGGACAAUAGGAUGCUACUCCGAGAGGAGACGCUAAUCCCCGAAACCAUGUCCAAGUACAGAUUGAGGGCUGUAACUCGCCCUCAUGACGAUGGAAUCCCUAGUAAUCGGAAUUCAACACGUUCCGGUGAAUAUGUCCCUGCUCCUUGCACACACCGCCCGUCAAACCAACCGAGUCGGGUUUGGAUGAGCCUUAGUUUUUUUGAUUAAGUCGAAUCCAAGCUCAGUGAGGUGGGUUAAGUCGUCACAAGGUA
rnacentral:rRNA from 1 species